UACAAGGACAAGCGUCUGGUCAACUGGGACCCGAAGCUGCUGACCGCGAUCUCCGAUCUCGAAGUGCAGCAGAUCGAGGUCAAGGGCAGCCUCUGGCAUCUGCGCUAUCCGCUGGAAGGCAAGGAGUUCAAUCCCGAGNGCAUCCACGUUCAUCGUGGUCGCGACCACGCGGCCUGAAACCAUGCUUGGCGACACGGCUGUCGCCGUGAAUCCCGAUGACGAGCGCUACAGGCAUCUGGUCGGCAAGCACGCCGUG
rnacentral:misc_RNA from 1 species